rnacentral:lncRNA from 1 species
CACAUGAGCUAGCUGAGCAUUCUACCACUGAGCCACAACCCCAGCCCCAAGUCUUUAGCAUUUCUUUAGUGGCGGUAAUGUCCUUAACAUCCGCAACUUCCUUAGCCCCAGUUUUACUCCAUCUUUUUAAGUCCAGGUUUUCCAAAUAGUUGUGCUUUGCUUUCUACUCCUGAUCAUCACAAUAAAUUUGGUUAAAAGCUAACAGCAAUAUCCAUGCCACUGCCUGAAUGCUAUGAUGCCUAGAAAUUUUUUCCACCAGAUAAAGAAGUCCAUUGCUUUUAAAAUCAGCCUCAUAGAAUGUCUCAGGACACAGGCAAAAUUCAGACAACCUCUCAGUCAAUUCAGACAACCUCUCAGUCCGAACAUAAUAGGAAUGGCCUCUAGUCCAAUUCCAAUGGAAUACUCCUCUGAACCCUCUUGAGUCCUGUCUUCACGGUCCAUGGUCCUAUUGGCAUUCUGGUCUUCUGAGCUCCCAUUGGCCAUUAAGCUCCACUUACAACAAUCUAAAGCAUUUCCAGCUUGCACUGCUAAACCUCUCAAAAUUUUUCCACCAAUUCCAAAAAGCUCCAAAUGCUUAUGAACCACAUGGUCAGGUUAGUAAUAGGAAUAACUCUUCUUCUUGGUACCAAUUUCUGUUUUAGUCAGCUUUUUUGUAGCUGUGACUGAAAGACCUGACAAGAACAAUUGUAGAAAAAAAAUUUAAAUUGUUUUUCAUGGUUUUAGAGGUUUUCGUCCAUAGCAAACUGGCUCCAUUCCUGGGACUUGAGGUGAGGCAGAACAUCAUGGCAGAAGAGUUAGUGGAAGGAAGCGACUCCCAUGAUGAUCAGGAAGCAGAGAGAGGUCAGGUCUCCACUUGCCAGACACAAAAAGUAUACCCCAAAGCCAUGCCCCAGUUUUCACUUCCUCCAGCCACACCCUGCCACUUCAGCUACCAUUCAGUUAAUCCCUAUUAGGGGAUUGAUUCACUGAUUGUGUUAAGAUUCCUACAACCCAACCACUUCUCCUCUGAUCCUUUUUGCAUUGUCUCACGUGUGAGCUUUUGGGGGACACCUCACAUCCAAACCAUAACGAUACCCAUUUCUUACAAUUCUGUCAUUAUUAAGUGGAAUAAUCCAUGUAGCUGCUUCUAUAAUAUCUGGCAUAUUGUUAAAGUUUAACAUUUUACAAUAGCAAUAAAAGCAUGGCUCGUCAAAAGUAUAGCUAAUUAUCAAAUGUAUCAAAAUUUAUCAUCAUAAUCACAAAGAGAACAGGUAUAAAGCCAAACUGACCUUUUGUAUCCAUGACUUAUCUUCUUUGGGCUGUUUUCUUCCUGUGUAAAUAUGAACAUUAUAAUCUCCCUGAAAACAUUACUGGGUAGAUUAAGGAAGGUUAUGUUAAAAAUAAAUAAAUCAAGUCUUAGGUCCUGGUGAUUAGUAAGUGUUCAAUCAAUUAGAAGUGUUUAAAAAAGAGAACUCAAUGAUAAAGCUCUCUUCUCUGUAAGAAAUAAAAUUCAAUAAUUCUUCUUCUCCAGAGAGGCUUUUCUGUUUAUUUGAAUUACUUCGUGUGUCAAGUGACCGGGCACAUAUCUAAAAGCAUUGAUUGGUCCUGAGUCUACCAGUCAAUCAAAAAGCCAGAGGUUUCCAAACCUUUUCAGCUCAUGGGGGUCUUUAGUUUCUUAGAAAGUAUUUCACAGCACCAUGGUUCAGAAGAAACACCUAAUUAUGCCAUUCAUUAGG